CCCUUAGAUGUUCUGGGCCGCACGCGCGCUACACUGAUGAGUUCAACGGGUUUUAAAUUUUUUUUUAAAAUUUGUUUCCUUGAUUGAGAAAUCUGGGUAAUCCUUUAAAUGCUCAUCGUGAUGGGGAUAGAUUAUUGCAAUUAUUAAUCUUCAACGAGGAAUUCCUAGUAAACGCAAGUCAUCAGCUUGCAUUGAUUACGUCCCUGCCCUUUGUACACACCGCCCGUCGCACCUACCGAUUGAAUGGUCCGGUGAAAUCUUUGGAUUUUGAUUAUGUUUUAAUUUUGUUAAAAUGUGAUUGAAAGAAGUUGAUUAAACCUUNCNAUUUAGNGGAAGGUGAANUCGUANCA
rnacentral:rRNA from 1 species